CCUACGGGAGGCAGCAGUGGGGAAUUUUGGACAAUGGGCGCAAGCCUGAUCCAGCAAUGCCGCGUGCAGGAUGAAGGCCUUCGGGUUGUAAACUGCUUUUGUACGGAACGAAAAAGUCUGCCCUAAUACGGUGGGCCCAUGACGGUACCGUAAGAAUAAGCACCGGCUAACUACGUGCCAGCAGCCGCGGUAAUACGUAGGGUGCGAGCGUUAAUCGGAAUUACUGGGCGUAAAGCGUGCGCAGGCGGUUAUAUAAGUCAGAUGUGAAAUCCCCGGGCUCAACCUGGGACCUGCAUUUGAGACUGUAUAGCUAGAGUACGGUAGAGGGGGAUGGAAUUCCGCGUGUAGCAGUGAAAUGCGUAGAUAUGCGGAGGAACACCGAUGGCGAAGGCAAUCCCCUGGACCUGUACUGACGCUCAUGCACGAAAGCGUGGGGAGCAAACAGGAUUAGAUACCCUGGUAGUCCACGCCCUAAACGAUGUCAACUGGUUGUUGGGUCUUCACUGACUCAGUAACGAAGCUAACGCGUGAAGUUGACCGCCUGGGGAGUACGGCGCAAGGUUGAAACUUAAAUGAAUUGACGG
rnacentral:rRNA from 1 species